CCUACGGGAGGCAGCAGUGGGGAAUAUUGCACAAUGGGGGAAACCCUGAUGCAGCAACGCCGCGUGGGCGAUGAAGGCCUUCUGGUCGUAAAGCUCUGUCCUAAGGGAAGAAUACUGACGGUACCGUAGGAGGAAGCCCCGGCAAACUACGUGCCAGCAGCCGCGGUCAUACGUAGGGGGCUAGCGUUAUCCGGAAUGACUGGGCAUAAAGGGUGCGUAGGCGGCCCUUAAAGUCAGAGCUGAAAGGCUACGGCUCAACCGUAGUAAGCCUUUGACACUGUAGGGCUUGAGUGCAGGAGAGGAGAGUGGAAUUCCCAGUGUAGCGGUGAAAUGCGUAGAUAUUGGGAGGAACACCAGUUGCGAAGGCGGCUCUCUGGACUGUAACAGACGCUGAGGCACGAAAGCGUGGCGAGCGAACAGGAUUAGAUACCCUAGUAGUC
rnacentral:rRNA from 1 species